AUCCCUAAUACCGUGACAUCGAGAACAAACUAUUUUAUGCUGAGGAAUUAAAAAUGAUCGGUUUUCUCUUUCUCUGUUGCCUAGCAGGUGUGUGUCUGGGUCUUGAUGUCCGGCAGUCUCCCUCUGAUCUCAUCACCAAACCUGGAGACAAAGUGGAGAUAUUCUGCAGCCAUGAUAAAACUGACUACAGGGUGAUGCUCUGGUACCAGCGCUCGCCUGGAGACACGGCUAUGAAACUCAUUGGAUAUUUGAACUUUAAAGAUGUCACAAAGGAAGAUGCAUAUGAAAAGAAUUUCAAUAUCAUUGGAGAUUUAGGGGGAAAUACAGCAAAGAACGCCUCCCUUAAAAUCAAACUUGUAGAACAAGAGCACAGUGCUGUUUACUACUGUGCAGCUAGAGAAGCACGCUGACAAAUAUCCUGUCUGCACUUUAC